GGACUACAAGGGUAUCUAAUCCUGUUUGCUCCCCACGCUUUCGUGCCUCAGUGUCAGUAUCUGUCCAGAAAGUCGCCUUCGCCACUGAUGUUCCUUCCAAUAUCUACGCAUUUCACCGCUACACUGGAAAUUCCACCUUCCUCUACAGUACUCUAGCUUGACAGUAUUGAGCGCAAUCCCCAGGUUAAGCCCAGGACUUUCACACCCAACUUACCAAACCACCUACGCACCCUUUACGCCCAGUAAUUCCGAUUAACGCUUGCACCCUCUGUAUUACCGCGGCGGCUGGCAC
rnacentral:rRNA from 1 species